UCAUCAUCAUCCACAAAACAGUUAUUUUCUACAGUAAUAUCACCAUCAUCUACUCUAAAGUCUUUAUCAUCAUCAGUAAUACAAACAUCAGUGGCUGCUACUAUGAAGCCUGAAAAUACUUCAUUCAUUGUUACUGUUGGAGGCUCAGGGAUUGCUGUAAUAAUGAUAGCACUAUUGAUAGU